CCUGGGCUGAUGAUCAGGACUUACAGAACCUGGGGCGAUGGAAACCUCUACAAAUAUCCCAUUUAGAAAGACCGCCAGCCCUGCCAACAGAAUGAAACGGAGGCCAGGUUGCUAUGGUCUCUACUCCAAUGCCUGACAUUCCACCACCUUCACCCCACCCCCACCCCAUCCCACCCCCACCCCAUUGAUGCUAAGCCUCUCCCUGCUGUCCAGGAUCUCACCACCUGCAACCUCCAGCUGGAUUUGCCUUUUCAGUUCAAGGUCUUGACUCUUGACUGAUGUUUCCCCGCAAAAGCUGACAUUGCAGAGUGACUUCGUACAAGCCAUUGUUCCUGGCUGGGAAUCACCCGAGUUCAUUCAUGAGAAGGUCCCGAGUGAUCUAGGACUGUUUGUAUUUUUACCCAAAGAAAUGAGUCUUUUGGGAUAAUUUCAGGCACAAAGAGCAGUCUGGCAGGGGAGACAUUUUUUAUUUGUUGCUUUAGUUGGGGAAGUAAGCCUUUGGCUCACCUCUAAAUUCCCACUGCUCCCCUCCCACUGUAGAAAGCUGGCAGGAUGGUUGGAAGCAAUGUGGGGCAAGGAUUCUCAAACUCAGCAUAAUUAUGGCCUGAGGAACUUAAAAAAUGCACAUUCCCAGGUCCUGGCUUUCAGUCUCUGAACUACAUUUUUUUUUUUUUUGAGACAGAGUCUCAUUCUGUCAUCCAGGCUGGAGUGCAGUGGCGUGAUCUCAGCUCACUGCAACCUCUGCCUCUCAGCUUCAAGCGACUCUUGUGCCUCAGCCUCCCAAGUAGGUGGGGCUACAGGUAUGCACUGCCACGCCUAGCUAAUUUUUGUAUUUUUAGUAGAGAUAGGGAUUUUGUCAUGUUGGCCAGCCUGGUGUCGAACUUCUGGCCUCGAGUGAUCUGCCUGCCUCGGCCUCCCAAAGUGUUGGGAUUACAGGUGUGAGCCACCGUACCUGGCCAGAACUACAUUUUGAGAAAUACUGGUUUUUGUGGCAAGAGACACAGACCUAGGUUCAAGUACUAUAAUUAGCUGUGUGACCUUGAAUGUGAUCCUUCUGAGCUGCAAUGCUCUUAGCUUUAAAACAGGAAUUAAGCCUAUCUCCUCCACCUCAUGGGAGAUCAUCAGCAAACGUGCUUCAUGCCUGUUAAAUGCCUUGGCAUGUGGAAGAGUGCCAUUUUUAUACUAGUGCCAACCAUGUGCUGUAGAGAAAUACAAAGGAAGGCACAGACCUGGUCCCAAGCUCAGAGAGAAAUUCCUUAAAUCUUUGGGGCUGGAUGUAAACUCAUCGGCACUAUUUUGAGUGAAGGCUAUUGGCCAGAGUGGAAGGAAGUGUUUUCUAUCUCAUGCAUGCUGGUGCCUCCCAGUGAACAACACAGCAAAGUCUACAGAGCGUGUCAGGAGCUUGAAUCAGGUGUGCCAGGCAACGCUAUGGUAACAAACAGCCCCUGGGUCUCAGUGGCUGAGCCCAGCGAAAGCUUACUUCUUGCUCAUGUUGUCUGUCCCAGCAGGUCGGCAGGCAGUUGCAGUUCUCUUCCACAGACUCACUCAGGGACCCAGGCUGACGGAAGUUCCAUCAGCUGUAGCUGCACCAUCUGGGACACACGGCCUCCAUGGCUGCGGCAGCUGGGAAACAGACCCUGGAGAAGGGCGCACCAGCUUUUUACUGCCUCAGCCUGGAAAUGACACGUAUCACUUCUGCUCAAUUUCAUCGGCCAAAGCUAGCCAUAUGGCACAGCUGGGAAACCCAGGGGAGUCAACGGUCUGUGUAGUGAACAUUAUUGUUUCUGCCACAGAAAACUUCCAAGAGUAGGGAGAUGAGAGAGCUUGCGGUUCAGAUUUCCAGUUUGGGCACAAAGACGGAUGUCUCCUAGAGAGAAAGGGAUGGGAGAGUCCUCUGUGGAGUGGCUUCUGUUCCCUACAUCCCAGAGAGGCUCAGCUUUUCUGGCCGAUGGAGUGCAGUUUUAUUUGUUUGAGAAUAUGUUUUGUUUUCUUCCUUUUUCUCGUUCUUGCUUACCCUCAAAACAUGGGAAGAAAAGCUGUCUGACUCAAACAGCCAGCAGUCUGGUCCGGGCCCCCUAAGAUGGAGAGGCGCCAUUUCCCAGCAGGCCAAGAAAUGCCCCGGGAGCUCCAAGGGUUCUGUGGGUCCCGGGAUGAGAGGCUGACACAGCCAAGAAGACCCAGGGUGAGGCUGAGCGGAGGCUGAGGCGGCAUGCCUGGCCGCCCACACUGCCAUCCGUCCUAGCGCUCUGUGCAGAGCACGGCUGAAAACUCCCCAGGUAUCUUUGGAAAUGAAGAACACUGGGUUGGCACCCGGCAAUUUGGGACAGCAGCUUUUCUGGAGCGCACAGCUUGGGAAUAAGCCUGAAGAAAUCUUUCAUUCCUAGAGCGUUGGUGGAUAAAUGGUACUUAUUUGUUUAACCUCAAAUCAAGCCGCAGCCCCCAUUUCUGGGGCUGCUUUGCGAGGGUUGUUUUAAAAUAGCUGAACAAGCUGAAAAUCACGGGUCUAGGUUGCUGGAAUGGCUUUGCAGAGAGCAGC
rnacentral:lncRNA from 1 species